UUAGGAAUAUUCGUCAAUGGGGGAAACCCUGAACGAGCAAUGCCGCGUGAAUGAUGAAGGCCCUCUGGGUUGUAAAAUUCUGUUGUUUGGAAAGAACUGUAAGAUUAGGAAAUGAAUCUUACUUGACGGUACCAAGCGAGAAAGCUCCGGCUAACUACGUGCCAGCAGCCGCGGUAAUACGUAGGGAGCGAGCGUUAUCCGGAUUUAUUGGGCGUAAAGCGUGCGUAGGCGGUUUGUUAAGUCUGAAAUUAAAGUCUGAGGCUCAACCUCAGUUCGUUUCAGAAACUGGCAGACUUGAGUAUGGUAGAGGUAAAUGGAAUUUCUAGUGUAGCGGUAAAAUGCGUAGAUAUUAGAAGGAACACCAGUGGCGAAGGCGAUUUACUGGGCCAUUACUGACGCU
rnacentral:rRNA from 1 species